rnacentral:rRNA from 1 species
GACGAGUGGCGGACGGGUGAGUAAUCUCUGGGUAUCUGCCCGAUAGAGGGGGAUACCACUGGAAACGGUGGCUAAUACCGUAUAAUGUCGCAAGACCAAAGAGGGGGACCUUCGGGCCUCUCACUAUCGGAUGAACCCAUAUGGGAUUAUCUAGUAGGCGGGGUAAUGGCCCACCUAGGCGACGAUCCCUAUCUGGUCUGAGAGGAUGACCACCCACACUGGAACUGAGACACGGUCCACACUCCUACGGGAGGCAGCAGUGGGGAAUAUUGCACAAUGGGCGCAAGCCUGAUGCACCCAUGCCGUGUGUAUGAAGAACGCCUUCGUGUUGUAAAGUACUUUCAGCGGAGAAGAAGGCGGCGCGGUUAAUAACC